CUCAAGGGCGCCCUGUCUACUCCCCACUCUGUUUGCACAGCUAUUGGCUUUGCUCCAUCACCAGGGACAGAAGACCUGGAGCUAAGGUCUCUGCCCUCACAAUGUUUCUUCCAGCCUUGCCUGAGGAUGAGAGGGAAGCAGGAGCAGCAGAAAGAAGCGUGACAAUCCAAACCGUCUUAGUUUCAAAGCCUACAGAAAUUAACCAAAAUCGCCAGCGGAACCCUGGGUUGGGUUUCAUUUGCUUCUGAGCUUCAAGGAUGCUGUCCUUUUGCCUAGUUCAGACUUUUGUCUCCUGGUUUUCUCCUAGCCAUUGUUAGCUUCAGCAACAAGCAAUCAACUUUUGUAAGGAUGGGUCAUUCCAUGUCACACCCACAUCUGUGAAAAUUCGGGUUCUCUGAGUGGGGCCGGCUGGCAACGUUCACCAGAACACAGCAGCAGCGAAUGCAAGGCCCCAGGCUCAAUGCUGGGGACGCUUUCUGCUGAGUCGCCAUGACACAGACCUGCUCACUUUCCUCUUGCUGCUGCUCAUUCUCUUUCCCUGCAAAAUGUUGCUGUAACCUUCAAAAUCUUAUCCAAAUCUAGAACAAACUCAAGCUUUUUUUUUUUUUCCUCUCUCGAAUUGAUUCAGUUGACCCUUUCCAAGUCACUUUAGAAAAUACCUUUCUCCAUUGUUUGGAAUACGUUCAUAUGAAAAGCAAUUGCAAAUUAUCUUAACCCAAUCCCAAGUCUCCUCUCCCUUUCUAUGUACUACUAUGUUCACUGCACACCCACACACUGAUGGAGGAGAAUAUAGACAAGGUCUCCUUCCAUUGGUUGGACCACUCUGCGGAGGUGAGUUUGUCAAUUCCACCAUAACUGUGAUAAAUACACACACUAGGUUUUGCCCAUGACAGCACAAGUCUCCCAAGAAAACACUCUUACCAAUAGUUCAUUCCUUGUGUCUCUUUAACAAUUUUCCUGGCACAGAUAAUUGCAUCUGUGAGGUCAUCAGUGAUCAAGGCUGUAAAAGAGAGAAGACAUCAGGGUUAGGCGAGACUUUGUUGUUGGAGAGGGACCUCAACUCAACUUUACUUCACUUUUCUCAGUCUUUUUGGAUCAAGAGGGUUGGAAGAACUAUGAUUUUGCCUGCAAAGCCACAAUCUUAUUUUCAUUAAGCUUCUUCAAAAAGAACUUUUUGUUGUUGUUUUAAGACCGUUUUCAUCUUGCACUACCUGAUGUUUCAGAGGAAGAGCCCAAUCCUGAAGGGUUUUUGGAAAUGUGUUUAGAGAAAAUGCCAUGCAAGAAUGUUUUUUAUGUCUUAAAGAAAUAGGCGCAGGCCAGGCAUGGUGGCUCAGACCUGUAAUACCAGCAGUUUGGGAGGCUGAGGUGGGAGCAUCCCUUGAGGCCAGGAGUUUGAGUCCAGCCUGGGCAACGUAGCAAGAUCCCAUCUCUACAAAAAGUAAAAAAUUAGCCAGGUGGGAUGGUGUACACCUCUAGUCCCAACUACUCAGGAGCCUGAAGUGCGAGGAUCACUUGAGCCCAGGAGGUUGAAGCUGCAGUGAGCUGUGUUCACACCACUGCACUCCAGCCUGGGCAACAGAGUGAGACCCUGUCUUAAGAAAAAAAAAUGGCACAUAAGACAGGAUAGCACAAUGUUUUCUCUAUGUGGGUUAGUUUGACAUAUAAGUUCUCUUUGGAGGUAAAUAUUAAACCUUUGUCUAUUGUCAUUUCAUAUUGUGCCUUAAAAAAUUUUUAUCCAGGGUUUUGUUUUGUUUUGUUUUUGUUUUUGUUUUUGUUUUUGUGAGACAGAAUCUCAUUCUGUCACCCAGGCUGGAGUGCAGUGGCAUAGUCUCGGCUCACUGCAGCCUCUGCCUCCUGGCUUCAAGCAAUUCUCCUGCCGCAGCCUCCCCAGUAGCUGGAAUUACAGGUGUGUGCCACCAUGCUGGGCUAAUUUUUGUAUUUUUACUAGAGAUGGGGU
rnacentral:lncRNA from 10 species